UACGAAGGUUCCAAGCGUUAUCCGGAUUUAUUGGGUUUAAAGGGUGCGUAGGCGGCUUAUUAAGUCAGUGGUGAAAGACUUCAGCUUAACUGAAGAACUGCCAUUGAUACUGAUGAGCUUGAGUACAGUUGAGGUGGGCGGAAUUUGUCAUGUAGCGGUGAAAUGCUUAGAUAUGACACAGAACACCGAUUGCGAAGGCAGCUCGCUAAACUGUAACUGACGCUGAUGCACGAAAGCGUGGGGAGCAAACAGG
rnacentral:rRNA from 1 species